AAACAAACACAAUUUGAUCCAUUGAGGAUCCUCAUUUGAAUGACAUUUUGCCAAAAGAGUGCACACCUAGGCUCUCAUAUGAAGCAGCAUCACUUCCAUAAUCAUAUAAGUGAGUCCAUCAACUGCACAUUACAUCUAGCACACUACCAACAAGGGUUAUGACACUUUCAUCCUCUUAUGUUACAUAAUUUGCACUAUCAACGCCACAGAAAAUGACUUUAAAAUUUUGACAAUUGAGCAUUACCUGGUCAACUAAUGACUUGUUUUUACCCAUAUAAACUUAAUCCUUAGUAUCUUUGGCUUAAUUCCCCUAUUUUCUUUUUAAUUGUGGACAUAAAAAAUAGAGUGAAUUGCCAAUUUAGUCCUUGAAUUAUCACAUCAUUGAAAAUUAGGUCCCAAAACUAUUAUUUCAAAAAAAUCAAUUCUUGAAUCAUAAAAAUAUGUCAAUUACAUCCCUAAUAUUAUAUUUAAAGCUACUAUAAUCAAUUUUCCAUCAGUUUAAGUUACGUUAAUUGCAUAUGAUCCACCUUGGAGGGUAGAUUGGUAGUUUUCAUAAAGAAAUAACGUAUGGAGUUAACAUUUAGAGGGUAAAUUGGUAAUUUUCAUAAAAUAGUGUAAGUUAACUUUGGAAGGUAAAUUACACGUUAGAUUCCCAACCUAUAUGAAAUGUUAAGGGCUUAUAGGUGAGAAAAUAACGAUAUUACACUCUAACGUAUGUCAAGUGACUUAGGUUGACGAAAAAUUGGAUAAAAACUUUGAAUAUAAUAGUAUGGAUGAAAUUAGCAAUUUUUUAAUGAAUUUAGGGACUUAUUUUAGUAAAAACUAAGGUGAUAAUUUAAGGACUAAAUCGACACUUCACCCUAAAAUAUAUAAAUUAAUAUUUUCUUUUUAUUUGCGUUAACUGUUGUUAUUUACACGACAAGGAAAGAAAGCAAAACACCAUUAGGAUUGUAAUUAGCGGAGUAGGGUGUUGUUGGGCUGAGUUUUGUUGAUGACGUGGUGAAUGACCGAAAGUAUUUUUGGAGGAAAGGUUUUUGGAUUCCAAAAGCACUUGAAGUGUUUUCUACAAGAAGCACCAGUUAUAUGUUUCUUCUAUAAAGCACUUUAAGUGCUUUUCCAGAAUUUACUUGCAUUUUUACAAAUGAUUGUUUUAAAAAUUAUUUUCACCAAAAGAGCUUUCAGUCAUUUUAAAAGUACAUCCAAACAGACUCUAAGUGUUUGAUAAACUUUUAUAUAAAUUAUUUUGAGUAUGUUAAUGACAAAAAAUAAUAUAGUAUUUAAUGUAAUAUAAUAAUUGUCAAUGACAAUAAUGUAAGGUGAUAUAAUAGUUGUCACAGACAAUAAUGUAGAGGCAAAAAUUGUAAUUUUGUAAAACUUGUGGAGGUAUACUUGCUAUUUAAAUUUUUUAUUAAAUGAGCAUUAAUUGCUAAGCUUUGAAGAAAAAAAAUACUUUUUUUUAGAAGCACCUACUUCUGCUUUUCUACUUUCAUUGACAAUAAUUUUUUUAAAAAGUU
rnacentral:lncRNA from 1 species